GGGGAUGUCAUGGUUUCGACAGGUUUAUGUUUGAUUCAAACGGCAGUAGUAUUGUGAACUAUAAUCACUAAACAAAAAUAAACGGAAAUAACAGAUUAUCUUUUGCUGCUUAAUAGCCUAACAGACCUGGCUGCAGCUUCCUACUUAUAAAUUGUCAUUAGUUUAUAUUUAGAGUAUUUAUAAUGAAUAAGGUGAUUUUGACGUCAAUAAAAUGAUCCUGACAAUCUAAAUUGACAAAUUUAGUCAUCGUUAGCUUGCUUACAUGUGACUAUCUUAUCAAACAGCAAGAUAAACUGUAGAAGUUUGAAUGUGGGGCAACUCUUGGACAGGGGUUCGACUCCCCUCAUCUCCACCA
rnacentral:tmRNA from 1 species